rnacentral:rRNA from 1 species
AGAAUCAACGCUGGCGGCGUGCCUAACACAUGCAAGUCGAACGAGAAAGUGGAGCAAUCCAUGAGUAAAGUGGCGCACGGGUGAGUAACACGUGACUAACCUACCCUUGAGUGGGGAAUAACUGAGGGAAACCUUAGCUAAUACCGCAUAACACCUACGGGUCAAAGGAGCAAUUCGCUUAAGGAGGGGUCGCGGCAGAUUAGUUAGUUGGCGGGGUAAUGGCCCACCAAGACAGUGAUCUGUA